CUAGAGCAUUAAAGCAAGCACUGGCUCCCAGACCUCAUGUCACAUGCUCGUGACACUGGCCCUGCCUGGAACCCUGGCUCAGCGUUGCUCACCUUUUGGCUGCCAGCAUCUGUGCCCAUCUCUGGAGUGGAGUCCAGAAGCUAGGUGUAGCAGCAAUUGCUCAUCUGGCUGCAUCAGCUGGGAUCUCAGCUGGGGCCAAAAUGUCCAAGAUGACCCUCAUCCUCCAGGGCCUCUUUUCAAGUGGUAUCUCAAUAUUCAGCAGACUAUCUUGCUGCUGGUUUGCAAGAGGGAGUGUUAUAAGAGGACAAGACCCAGUGGGCCAUAGUGCGCACCAUCUGCAUGCAUUAUUCAUACCACAUCCCAAUGGAGAAGCAAGUCAUGUGGCCAAACCCAGAGCCAGAAUGGGAAGAGUCUACCAAAUGUGUGAACACCAGCAGGAUCCUGGGAUCCACAAAUGUCCUGGGCCCGCUGCCACGUUUCCUCCCUGCUGUGUGAUCCCUGCUCACCACUGGCCGAAGGUCUAACCAUCGGACCUCGACCUUCUGCUUUGGCCUGUCUGAGUUCCACCUGCACUGCGGACGGGUCCUCGCUGCCAGCCAGGCAGUGGGCGAGCCUGCCCAAGUUCCUGCUGCCUGCCUUCUUGGACUGUUCUUUCCUGACGCCUGUCUGGGUUCUCCAAGAGGGAGCCACUGAGGCAGCAGUGUGAGGACAUGCCCCUUGGUCAGCCCCGAGGAGGAAAGAGAGGAAGCAGGAGGGCCGAGGCCAGCCCAGCACCCUGCGAGGGCUGCGGUGUCAGAAUGGCUCACCAGAGACGUCACACAUCAGGCUGAGACGCCAGGCCUUUGCCUCCUGCAUUGAUCAGCCGUUGGGUGCUGGCCACCACUAGAAGGCUGGGAUGUGGGGCGAGGGGCAACCCCUGGAGCCUCUGACAGCUGAAGGUGUCCCCCGUAGGCAAUGGAGCCAGAGUCCUUCCCAGGAGGACCAUAGAGGCCAUGUGUCAUGUGUACACCCCAGAGAAAAGUCCCAGGAGUGGCAAUGGGGGGUGGGACGUAGGCCAGCAAGUGUUCAGAAGACUGACCAGUGCCCUAGGUGAGGAAGUGUGGUCUCAGGUUCCUGUGAGAGUGAGAAGGUAAACGGGCAGCAGAGAGAAGGCCGUAAGCCUGGUCCUCGGUCUGGGGAGAGCGGGGGAGGAGCCUACUCCAGGUCAUGGGCACCAAGUUCCAGAGCAGAUGUUGAAUGAAAGUGGCAACCCUGUGGCAAGGUCAGGGAAGCAAGCGUAUGGGGCCCACACUGUAUCAGGAAGUACAGGCUGCCAGGCCACCACCCACCACCCACCAAGCCUCUCUGCAGUGCAGGCGGGAUGUCAGCUGGCUGCCCACUGCCAGAGCCAACCUCGGUGGCCCCGGUACUGGCCUUCCUCUGGUCACUGUCUCCCUCCUCCCCAGGGCUCACUCUGCCCCUGCUCUGGAGUCUCCUCUAAAACUCUGCAAAGAACACUCCUGGACUCAAGUGCCCGGUGACUUGAUCGGGCAGACACUGUGUUAACACGUGGAACUCGGGCACAGAGGUGUUUCAGUUCUCUGGGAGUUACAGCUCAGGCUGAGGAUGAGAGGCAGAGACUGUGAGCAGUUCUGGCAGCUGGAUCCCUUGGACUGAGGAGGGUCCUGGGCCACUUUGGGAAGGCUGGCCUCUCCAAUAGCCAGCUGGAGACCCUGGACACAGCAGGCUAAGGGGAUGUUCCUGCCCAAAAAGUUCUGGUGGGACUUCCUGGUAUCCCCAGGCAGGGCUAGAUUGACUCACAGCAGGAGGCAGGGGGUCUCUGAUACAACAACCAGACCCACCUGCUCUCAUGUCUUUAUUUCCUAAGAGAGAAGUGGCAUUUUGUGAUGGGGGGAGGGACAAAAAGGAGCCCAGAUUGGUUGUGAACUGGUCUUAGGUGAUAGUGGUGACAGG
ensembl:lncRNA